rnacentral:rRNA from 1 species
AGUGAACGCUGGCGGUAGGCCUAACACAUGCAAGUCGAACGGCAGCACAGUAAGAGCUUGCUCUUACGGGUGGCGAGUGUCGGACGGGUGAGGAAUACAUCGGAAUCUACUUUUUCGUGGGGGAUAACGUAGGGAAACUUACGCUAAUACCGCAUACGACCUACGGGUGAAAGCAGGGGAUCUUCGGACCUUGCGCGAUUGAAUGAGCCGAUGUCGGAUUAGCUAGUUGGCGGGGUAAAGGCCCACCAAGGCGACGAUCCGUAGCUGGUCUGAGAGGAUGGUCAGCCACACUGGAACUGAGACACGGUCCAGACUCCUACGGGAGGCAGCAGUGGGGAAUAUUGGACAAUGGGCGCAAGCCUGAUCCAGCCAUACCGCGUGGGUGAAGAAGGCCUUCGGGUUGUAAAGCCCUUUUGUUGGGAAAGAAAAGCAGCAGGUUAAUACCCCGCUGUUCUGACGGUACCCAAAGAAUAAGCACCGGCUAACUUCGUG